rnacentral:rRNA from 1 species
UCGGGACAACCACUGGAAACGGUGGCUAAUACCGGAUAUAGCCGAGAGGUGAAAGGUUAACUGCCUGGAGAAGAGUUCGCGUCUGAUUAGCUAGUUGGUAGUGUAAGGGGACUACCAAGGCGACGAUCAGUAGCUGGUCUGAGAGGAUGAUCAGCCACACUGGAACUGAGACACGGUCCAGACUCCUACGGGAGGCCAGCAGUGGGGAAUUUUCCGCAAUGGGCGAAAGCCUGACGGAGCAAUACCGCGUGAGGGAGGAAGGCUCUUGGGUUGUAAACCUCUUUUCUCAGGGAAUAAGCAAGUGAAGGUACCUGAGGAAUCAGCAUCGGCUAACUCCGUGCCAGCAGCCGCGGUAAUACGGAGGAUGCAAGCGUUAUCCGGAAUGAUUGGGCGUAAAGCGUCCGUAGGUUAGCAGUGUGUGUCUAUUGUUAAAGAGUUUGGCUCAACCAAAUAAGGGCGGUAGAAACUACACAGCUAGAGUGCGUUCGGGGCAGAAGGGGAAUUCCUGGUGUAGCGGUGAAAUGCGUAGAGAUCAGGAAGAACACCGGUGGCGAAAGCGCUCUGCUAGGCCGCAACUGACACUGAGGGACGAAAGCUAGGGGAGCGAAUGGGAUUAGAUACCCCAGUAGUCCUAGCCGUAAACGAUGGAUACUAGGCGUUGAGAGUAUCGACCCUCUCAGUGCCGUAGCUAACGCGUUAAGUAUCCCGCCUGGGGAGUACGCACGCAAGUGUGAAACUCAAAGGAAUUGACGGGGGCCCGCACAAGCGGUGGAGUA